rnacentral:rRNA from 1 species
GAUGAACGCUGGCGGCGUGCUUAACACAUGCAAGUCGAACGGAAAGGCCAGUGCUUGCACUGGUGCUCGAGUGGCGAACGGGUGAGUAACACGUGGGUGAUCUGCCCUGCACUUUGGGAUAAGCCUGGGAAACUGGGUCUAAUACCAGAUAGGACCAUGCUUUGGAUGGUGUGGUGGAAAGUUUUUUCGGUGUGGGAUGAGCUUGCGGCCUAUCAGCUUGUUGGUGGGGUAAUGGCCUACCAAGGCGUCGACGGGUAGCCGGCCUGAGAGGGUGUACGGCCACAUUGGGACUGAGAUACGGCCCAGGCUCCUACGGGAGGCAGCAGUGGGGAAUAUUGCACAAUGGGCGCAAGCCUGAUGCAGCGACGCCGCGUGGGGGAUGACGGCCUUCGGGUUGUAAACUCCUUUCGCAACUGACGAAGCUUUUUGUGACGGUAGGUUGAGAAGAAGCACCGGCUAACUACGUG